rnacentral:rRNA from 1 species
CGUGUAGGCGGCCGUCUAAGUCGGGUGUGAAAUCCCUCGGCUCAACCGAGGAACCGCAUCCGAUACUGGACAGCUAGAGUGCGGUAGGGGCAAGUGGAACUCCAGGUGUAGCGGUGAAAUGCGUAGAUAUCUGGAGGAACGCCGGUGGCGAAAGCGACUUGCUGGCCCGCAACUGACGCUCAGGCACGAAAGCGUGGGGAUCGAACAGGAUUAGAUACCCUGGUAGUCC